rnacentral:rRNA from 1 species
UACGUAGGGGGCAAGCGUUGUCCGGAAUCGAUUUGGCGGUUAAAGCGCGUGUACGGCGGCUCGGUAAGUCUGCUGUGAAAGUCCAGGGCUCAACCCUGGGAUGUCCGGUGGAUACUAGUCGAGCUUCGAGUCCGGAAGAGGCGAGUGGAAUUCCGUGGUGUAGCGGUGAAAUGCGCAGAUAUCAGGAGGAACACCAAUGGCGAAAGGCAGCUCGCUGGGACGUGA